ACAGAGCUGGCAGGAUGGAGGGGAAAAUUAUCUUCUGCUUGGAAUAAAGCAGGGAACUGCUUGUCACUUUUCUUAAACUGGCAAACACUACCCACAGUCUCCAAUUCCAAGUGAGAAACCAUGUUUUGAACAAUCUCAGCCCAUCCCCACAAGCACCAGGUCAUGGCCACGGUGAGCAGCUGGGCCAUGCAGAGGCUGAGCCCUUGCCUGGCUUCCAGGGCAACAGACUCACUGAAGCAGCCCAUGGCCAUCACCACAGCCCCAUGGAGACCCACAGCAAGAAUGGACUCCCUGGGGGAGGCUGAGACACCCAGGCUGUCCCCGCUGAGCCCCACCAAAGCAUCAGAGGGCUCUGACUGAACAGGGUGCUGUUGGGGGCAGCUGAGGGGCCCUUUUGCUAACCCUGCUACUCAUCACCCAGAAACCUGAAGUGAACAAGGCCCUGGGAUGCUGCAAAGGCAAAAAGACAAACCUGAGCUUCUAAGAUGAUGGGAUGCCACCAGCUUGAAUGUGAGAAAAUCAUGUGUUGUGAAGAUCUCAAAAAGCCCUGGGAAGCCUCAUUCAUUUCCUCCUCCUCCUCCACGUGCUACCAACCAAUGUGACUGAUGUGCAGCUGGAUGCUCCCAAGGAUGCAUAGGGAUCUCUCCUGCUGUAGAGGGACACCCUCAGACACACCCCAGGGCUGCAGGUAGCUAUUCCUGUCCCAAAACAGACACACCCAGUCUUUGGGUCUCUUAAGGCCACUUCAAGCAGGUCAGCUGGCUUUGUGCAAACCUCUGAAACAUGAAGAAUGUUGCUUCAGCAUGAAGCAAGUCUGGGACAGCUCCACAGCCCCCAUGGCACAGCAACACACAGUGCUGGGCAGGGUUCCAGUCCAUUCUGGAGUCCAGCUCCCUCCUUCGCCAGCAGUGGUCCAGAAGAGGCCACGGAGCUGCUCUGAGGGCUGGAGCCCCUCUGCUCUGGAGCCAGACUGAGACAGCUGGGGGUGCUCACCUGGAGAAGAGAUGGCUCCAUGGAGACCUCAGAGCCCCUGCCACCGCCUAAAGGGGCUCCAGGAGAGCUGGAGAGGGACUGGGGACAAGGGGGAAUGUCCUCAGUGGUUAGAUGGGAUAUUGGGAAGAAAUCAUUCCCUGUUAGGGUGGUGAGGCCCUGGCAAAGGGUGCCCAGAGAAGCUGUGGCUGCCCCAUCCUGGCAGUGUCCAAGGCCAGGUUGGACAGGUCUUGGAACUACCUGGGACAGUGGAAGGUGUCCCUGUCCAGGGCCAGGAGUGGAACAAGAUAGAUUUUAGGUCCCUUGCCACUCGAAUGAUUCAAUGGUUCUGAUCUGCAAAGUAUUUUGAAGAAAAGAUCCCAUGACAAAUGUUCUCUGCUGCAGGACAAGAGAGCAGUCAGACCCUCACCUGGGAUGGCACCAGUUAAACACAUCUCUGAGGCUAAAGUAGAUUGCAGAGGUGAUUGAGCCACCAUGAGGGGAAAGGAAAUAGAGACCAUCUGUGUUCUGGGAUGAUCUCAGGCCUUCAGAGCUGCUAAUGCUUCACUCAAGGCCAUAGCUCUGCCCUUUUAAGAUACAUUUGUGGUUUCCUCCUAGAACAAAAGGAAAAGAAAAACCUACCCAGGUUCAUUCAAAGGAAACUGGCCGUGACCUCCAGGUGCUCCUCUGUGCCUGCAGGGAUAGGGCCAUGCCCAGAGAGAGCAUGGAAAGGAUGCUUGUCCCACCUCCUGCUCUCAGGUUUCAACAGGUGACUUGGAUGAAACUACUGAGUGCAAAUUUUCCAGUUUCAUGUGGAUUUUCAUUUUUGUGAGGUGGAAGAACAAUCAUGGUUUCAUGGGCUAAUGACAGGUGCUGCAGGGAAACACCACCCUGCUGUGGGGAAAAGCUUUCUUUACUGGAGUAAUUUCUUUCUGCUCAAAGUCCCUGGGCAGGGCUGAAGUUAAACUCUCAGCAGAGAAACAGUGCAUGAGUGUAAAAUUUGGCAGCACAUAGGGGUGCAGGCAGCUUUCCAGAGGCACUCAGCAGACACUCAUCUCCUUUCUGAGGAGCAGUGAGGUUCAGAUCUCAAACUCCCUUGCACCAGGUGCUGGAGCAGCUGCCCAGGUUGGUGUGCCCUCAGGAGAGCUAACAUCAGCUUAGGUGUGUGAAGCUUCUGUCAGGACAGACGUGGUCCUGCCUGGUGUGUGUAUCAAGCAGACAGGAGCUGAGCAGAGCUGCUAUCGAUGAGCAUCCACAUCCCGCUUCCAGUGCAUCCCCCUUCUGCUCUAGUCUGGUCCCCAUCCUGCCAGGGAGACAUUGUGUCCUUGGGACUGCAUUGGCAAGGUCUGGGCAGUGGGGGUCUGUAGAGUGCCUUAGUGGAAGGCACCAGAAGCUGUCCCUGUGUUGGACUCACUACCACCCAAAGCUGAGCCUGCCGGCAGUAAAUGGGGGCUCCUCUGGGAUGAUGUUUUUAAGAAAGAGUAAAAACCACUGCACAGCCCUACAUAUCCUAGUUCAGUGGAGAGGGAGGGGAGGAGGUGCUCCAGGUGCCAGAACAGAGAUUACCUGCAGCCCGUGGGGAUGACCAUGAAGAGGCAGCUGUGCUCCUGAAACCUGUGGAGGUCCAUGGCGGAGCAGAUACCAACCUGCAGCCUGUGGAAGAUCCCACACCUCUGCCUUCCCGAGGCACGAGCCUGCUCAGCCUCUGAGGGUUUGUAUGCCAAACUGUGCUGGGAGCCUGCUUGGCUGCCACUGUCUCCUACCCUCACCUUGUCAUGCAGGAAGACUUUAUGUGUCUUGCUAAAGGAUUCAGCUUCCCUUUCCAACACCCCACACGUCUCUCUUUGGAAGCGAGCCCCGAAAUCAGUAAUAUCAGCUCUUCCGUGGUUGGGGGGUUGCACAGUCAAAGCACCUUCCCUAACCCAGGGUCAAGAAGAGCUGCCAGGGACCUGCCACAUCCCAGCCACUUCCAGCCCAAGGCAUGGAGAGCCUGAGCCCUGUGCCAGGCUGCAGGUGCUGCUCAGGCUCCCCUCAAUAAUCUGCCAGGACCAUCACUCCUGAGAGGCAGGGAGCAGAGAGAUGCCUGGUUCUGUGGCUCAGCAGUGGGUUGCUGCACGAGGAGAAAUGUUUCCAGUGUUUGCAAUAACUCAGGUCUCCUGAGAGUCACUGGACAGCUCACCAGGGGACCAGCCACUUGCUUUGGCUACUAGCAGUAGCUUUAAGCUUUCAGGUGAGAUCUUUACAAGUUCAAGUUCCACUUGUUUAAAAAAUAAUGUCAGAAUCCAGCUGGAGCCUGACACAUCGCUCUCAGCAGAUAAGCCUGGGAGCAGCCACCAGUAACACAGCUGUGAUAUUUCCACCGUUCCCUCCUGCCACCCAGUGGUAUCCAUGAAUGAGGAAGGUGACAGCAAGCAUAUGGGACACUUUCCUGUCUCCAGCUGUCUUCAGCUGGGGGGUGACCUGAGCCAGCCAUGAUUUUCUGAUUUUCACCCUUCAGUAGAUUCCUCCUCUCUGUACUUGUCAAAAUCCCUCUAUUGUAGUGCAGGCAAACCUCCAGAAGCACCAUCACUUAUCAGGGAGCUGCUGCACCCCAGCACUGGGAGCUGCCUGCUUUAGGAUGGGUUGGAUCUGGCUUCUACCUUCACUUCAUACACUGGAAUUGCUGGUGGCUCCAUCCCUCUCCAAUCUCUCCAGGACUCUCCUGAGUUUGCAGACCCCCAGUUGUAUCUUCCCUGGCUGGAGGGACCAGUACUGCUUGGAGGAGGGGUCCUUCCCAGCAGAGUUUCCCAGGAGCCCUAUGGCCAUGUGAUGCCUCCUGGCAGGGCCCAGCUGUCCCUGCUGCCUCAUGUGCCACUGCACCACCCUGGUGCAUUCCAGGGGCCAGGAUCAUGGUCCUUGCUGCCAUGCCAAUUGUUCCUACAGCCAGCUCCCACCUCACAUCCCUCCUGGGGUGAACAGGAUAUCCACCACAGAGCAGAGACAUACUACUAUUCCACAGGCUGGCCCAGACCUUCAGGAUUUUCCCACUAGUGAUGUACUUUCCAUUGCUUUAAAAAAUAAAACCCCAGUUAUAAAAACUCCA